rnacentral:ncRNA from 2 species
AUAUAAAGAAGAGGAGCAUUACCUAGGUAGCUUAAUUUGUGGAGCCCAAACUCCUACACAAAUAAGUGAGGGAGAGUAAUGCCGAGAUGAUCCUAUUGGGAGUAGGAUUGUCGGUCGUUUAGGCUGAAUCCUAACGAUUGUCACUUAAUUUAUUAAGUGAAGAGCUUCUAGCAAA